rnacentral:rRNA from 1 species
CCGCCCGUCACACCAUGGGAGUUGGAUUGACCCGAAGGCAGUGAGCUAACCCGCAAGGGAUGGAGACGCCUAAGGUGAGAUCGAUGACUGGGGCG